CGCGGCAAUGCCAAGGUAUAAAACCGCCAGACUCGCGGCCGGGCCUUCGUCGUCCGAUGCGGAGCUUUCAUAGAGAAUCCAAAAGAAGAAAGCGGAGGGACGUUAUCUGUCUUUUAUUCCUCUUAGGCGGCGGCGGCGGCGGAUUGAGUCUAGUCGCAUGAGAGCGAUCGAGAUUAGACCCUGCGGUUCUUCCUCUGGUGCAAGGUUUGCGUGGUCGUCGUUGAAGAUAGCGGAUGUCCAGGGCGGGCGAAAUUGAGGCUUUCUUUCAAUUCUGAAGUUUCCCUGGAAGAUUGCUUACAUAUAGUGAAAGCAUCUCGGCUGUCGAAGAAGAGAAGGUUGGGGCUGGAUAACUUCCUGGGUCUUUAACUACCGGCCCGUGGCGAUGUCGUCUGUGGCUUCUCCUCAGUUGGCUGGAGGCCCGACUCAGUCUUUGUCUGCUUCAUGCUUGUAUCCUCGAGGAGAAGCCCAGGCUCCCUGUGACAUGAACUCCCAACGGAGCCUUGGUUUUGGAAACUUGCCUACCUUUAUUCAUGCAACUGGAAGUUUCAAUCAUGGACCGGCUAUGAGUGACGUGAAUCAGCUCAUGAACAGUGGGGGCAACUCAGGACCAGGGCGGGGGACAAGCUCAUUACUGACUGAUGCCAAUUCGGCACUCUCUGGGGGUGACUCUCUACGCAGUAUCUACGUCAAUGCAGACUCACACAUGCUAUUUCCAGCGUCACCCUUGUCUUUUUCAUCUAGUAAUAUGAGCCUAUCUGGCUUUCCCACAAUGGAGGGAUCCUCAGUCGGGCAGCAGAUUGGAACUUCCUUUAGCAGAGUGGAAACCAAUCAAGAUCAGAACUCUCAGGAGGUGCAAAAACAAGGUGCUUCAUCUGCUACAGCACAUUCAUCAAUCCAGCACUCUUCUCAGCAGCAAUCCCUUUCACAAACUGCGCAGAUCUUCUUAGAAAGCUCUCAUCCAGGGGGCCAGCGAACACCGUAUACCAAUCAGCAAGCUAUAUAUCAACUCAGUGAUCAGACGGCCAUGAGCCUUGGUCAGGAAACCAGGGAAAUGCUUGGUCAGCAUGACCAAAUGAAGAAGCGUCGUCGGCUUGUUAUCAGGCAAGAUGAUCUGCUACAGCAACAUGUCAUGCAGCAGCCACAUCAAAAAUCAGGUCCAGGGGUGGCUUCUCAGCUCCAAUGGCAAGAUUCCUUUCAGGGGCAGUGUGCUAGUCCCCAGGUACCACUAAUGCUUCAGCAGCAGAGGCUUUUGCAGUUGCAACAGCUGCAGCUUUUGCAACGCCCUGCAUCACCAAUGCAGCAAAUGCGGAUACAGCACCAGCAACUUUGCCAGCAUUUACAACAAAGUAUGCCGCAGUAUUCUAUAAAUUGUUCCUAUGAUUAUGGUGCCUGUGCUCGUCGACUUAUGCAAUUCAUAAUGACUCAGCGCCACAGGCCUGCUGACAAUGGUAUUCUUUUCUGGAGAAAACUUGUGGCUGAAUAUUUUGCUCCUCGAGCUAUGAAAAGAUGGUGUUUGUCAUCAUACAACAGCGUGGGAUGUAACAAAACUGCUGUUUUGCCGAUGGUGCUGUGGCGGUGUGAGAUUUGUGGUUCUAAUUCUGGAAGGGGAUUUGAAAUUGCUGCUCAGGCACUUUCUAGGCUCAACAAGAUAAAGUUUGACAGCGGAGUUGUUGAUGAGCUGUUGUUUCUCGAAACACCUCGAGAGCAUAGGCUUCCUUCUGGGGUCACGUUGUUGGAGUCAAAAGCUGUUCAGGAAAGUGUUUAUGAGAAGCUCCGUGUUGUUCAUGAAGGUCAAAUUUGUGUUUCCUUUGGUCCUGAUAUGAAGAUAUUCUCUUGGGGAUUUUGUUGUCGGCGCCGUGAGGAGCUUUUGCCUUGCACAUUGGUAGCACCUCAGGUGAAUCAGCUUGUUCAGGUUGUGCAGAAGUAUCAAGCUUCUGUAUCUGAAAGUGGAUCUUCGGGGCUCUCAACAAAGGAUUUGCAGUCAAACUGUGACAUGUUUGUUCAAGCGGUACAUCAGCUUCCAAGGGUUCUGGAGAUGCAACCAGUCGAUGAACUUGGAUUUCCCAAAAGAUACAUCCGGUGCCUGAAGAUAGCAGAGGUUGUCAGCAGCAUGAAGGAUCUGAUGGACUUCAGUGGAGAGCACAACGUUGGGCCUAUCGAAAGUUUGGAAAGCUAUCCUCGACAGGAUGCUGGUGGUGGUCUUGAAAUAAAAAAAAUUCAGGGGAUGCGACAGAUCAUGAAUCAGGGGACGUCUCCACACCGAGCAUCACUUAAUCAGAUGAUGGAUAUGCAUUCUGGAUUAAACAGCCAUACAAAUACCGGCUUUCUAGGUAGUGGAGUGUUGACUGGCUCAACUGAGGCCGUAGCAAGAUUGGCUGGGUACCUCAAUUUACAGAGACAAAACUCAGUAAUGCCAAAAGCAAAUGCUUUUUCACAGGAUGCAAGUGGAUCAAAGCAAGUAGCGUCACAGUUUCAAGGGCCUUUCUCUCCAGUGUCCAUCUCGCUACAAAAUCAAGCAUCAUCACAGUCAUCACCAUCCCAAGGGUCUGUCACUUCAAUGCCAGUCUCUCUACAGAGUGUGCCUUUAUCGGCAGCAGUUCAACAGAGCUUGCUGGACCCUAGAUUGCUGCAGACAAUGGUUUCUCAGUCUUCUCGUCUAAACCAGCAAUUUCAGCAACAUACACCUCCACAGAUCCAGGAUGCGUUAAAUAGUAAUAGGGUCUCAUCGGGGAAAUCUGUUGGUGGGCAGAAUGCAAAUCUAAAUUCAGUUGGGCACCCUUUCCAAGGAGCAAGAGUUUCUAUGCACUUGGCUUCAAGGCCUGCAGUUGGUAACGUGCUGGAAUUGAGCAACAGUAACUUGGUAAAUCACGUUAGCGGUAUGACGCCCAAAAGGAACGAUAGCUUCAAAGACGACGCAAACGGCACGAUGAUUCUUGGCGGCAGCAAUGCUGUGUAUUUAAGAUCGGAUGCGUCACAAGACCUCCCUUUGCCUGAGCUUGUCCAGGAUAUUUCUCAUGAAAUUUCGGAAAGUUAGAUAUUUAGUGGUGAACUGGCUGACAUAAAUUAUGGCGAGAAGCUUGAAUCAUAUGCUGGCUUUCUUUGACUUGGAACCACUCCGGUCAAUUCUCAAGGACCUGAACUGCCAAUUUGUGAGCAAGGAACCUUGAAGGUGGUGGGAUUAGCAGAUCAUGAAUAUCGACAGACGGCUUCAUCCAGCAUUCCGGAAACAAGGUUCACGGCCAACAGAACUUACAAUAUCAUAUACAGUAGACUGUUUUGCUGCUGUUGACAGUUUCAUUAAUUUCUGGCUGAUGGUGCAAGUGGUAGAGACAAACCCAAAGGUAACAGUGACUUGUAUUUGAUGGCGGGGAACAGAAUCCAGGAUAAGCGGAAGCACAAGGGAACCUCAAAAGAUGCUAAGAAGCGGAAAGCAAGAUAUAUAUGCGAAACAAUUAUAUGAGCAUAAAAUAAACAUGUGAAUGACAGUGCAAAAAGAAAUAAAUUAAUGCGAGUAAGCUC